rnacentral:rRNA from 1 species
UACGUAGGGGGCAAGCGUUGUCCGGAAUCAUUGGGCGUAAAGCGCGUGUAGGCGGCCCGGUAAGUCCGCUGUGAAAGUCGGGGGCUCAACCCUCGAAUGCCGGUGGAUACUGUCGGGCUAGAGUGCGGAAGAGGCGAGUGGAAUUCCUGGUGUAGCGGUGAAAUGCGCAGAUAUCAGGAGGAACACCAAUUGCGAAGGCAGCUCGCUGGGACGUUACUGACGCUGAGAACGCGAAAGCGUGGGGAGCAAACAGG